GAUGAAGAACGUAGCGAAAUGCGAUACGUAAUGUGAAUUGCAGAAUUCAGUGAAUCAUCGAAUCUUUGAACGCAUAUUGCGCUCUCUGGUAUUCCGGAGAGCAUGCUUGUUUGAGUAUCAGUAAACACCUCAACUCCCAUAUCUUUUUUUGAAAUGGGAGUUGGACUUGAGUGAUCCCAACGCUUUUCCUCACCGAAAAGUGGCGGGUUACUUGAAAUGCAGGUGCAGCUGGACUUUUCUCUGAGCUAUAAGCAUAUCUAUUUAGUCUGCCUAAAAAACAGAUUAUUACCUUUGCUGCAGCUAACAUAAAGGAGAUUAGUUCUUGUGCUGACUGAUGCAGGAUUCACAAAGACAGCUUCGGCCGACUUUGUAAACUCGAUCUCAAAUCAAGUAAGACUACCCGCUGAACUUAAGCAUAUCAAUAAGCGGAGGA
rnacentral:misc_RNA from 1 species